rnacentral:piRNA from 1 species
UGGAAUAUCCCCCAUGGUGUGAAGUCUGC